rnacentral:rRNA from 1 species
AUUGAACGCUGGCGGCAUGCCUUACACAUGCAAGUCGAACGGUAACGCGGGGCAACCUGGCGACGAGUGGCGAACGGGUGAGUAAUGCAUCGGAACGUGCCCAGUAGUGGGGGAUAGCCCGGCGAAAGCCGGAUUAAUACCGCAUACGACCUACGGGUGAAAGGGGGGGAUCGCAAGACCUCUCGUUAUUGGAGCGGCCGAUGUCAGAUUAGGUAGUUGGUGGGGUAAAGGCCUACCAAGCCUACGAUCUGUAGCUGGUCUGAGAGGACGACCAGCCACCCUGGGACUGAGACACGGCCCAGACUCCUACGGGAGGCAGCAGUGGGGAAUUUUGGACAAUGGGCGCAAGCCUGAUCCAGCCAUGCCGCGUGCGGGAAGAAGGCCUUCGGGUUGUAAACCGCUUUUGUCGGGGAAGAAAUCUUCUGGGCUAAUACCUCGGGAGGAUGACGGUACCCGAAGAAUAAGCACCGGCUAACUACGUGCCAGCAGCCGCCGUAA